GACGGCAAGGGGGAGAUGGAUGAGCACACGGCAUUGUUCUGGGAAGGAGCCUUCCACCUCCGAGUUCCCCAUAUCCCUUCCUCUCCCUCAGGACGACGGCAAGGUCAUGGCUCAGGAGCCCGGCGCCCAUUCAAGAAAAAGCCCUCAGCCUUGUCCCUCUCUCUGUCCCCAAGAGUGGCUGCUCAGGGUGUGCCUUUGGUUGAUUUCAAGUUUCAGGUCCCGGCGGUGACGGCCAGUGGCGGGCGGGGAGGGGGGGCGGAGAAGGGUGGCCGCGGUGGCCGGGGGCCCAGCCGGUCACCUUCUCUGUGGACGCCCAGGCGCCCAUGGUGGAGCCUGAGCUGACCGAGGUGGGCGAGCUGCACUCGCUCACGGACUGGCAGGUUUCCGAGGCUUCGGAGGAGGCCGAGCUGGACGAGUUCUGCCGGCAGGGAGGGACCACGAGCCACCAGAAGUAGCAGGAAACCAAAAGAGAAGAUGGGGCGGGGGGAGGGCACGCACAGAGAGAGAGAGAGAGAGACAGACAUAUACACAGAAGAGGGAAGGAUGAGAGAAGCAGAGGGUUAGGGUUAUUUUUUUCCCCCAAGACUGCACACACACACACAGGCUUCCAAGCCCUCGAAAAGAAGCCGGAGACGCGGCAAGGCCCAGAUCUGCCAGGCUGUCAGCCCCCCGCAGCCGGGAGCCCAAUUUGGGUGUGUCUAGUCUGUGCAGGGCGCGGGUCAGGGGCGGGAACUCCUGGUGUUCCCCCGGGCAUCUCUCCUCACGCCACAAGCCCAGGUCCCAGGGGGGGCCUGCCUCUGGCAUCUCCCAGGUGCACAGUCCCCUUUAUUAGCUGAGGACUGACACCCCAGCCCCCCUCCACACACACACCCCACCCCCCCCCGGUCGGGCUUUGGCUCCGUCUCCAACUCCCGGCCUUGCCCCUGGUCACAUGCAGCCUCUGCGCCCAUGAAGGGCGGUUUCCAGCCCCUCUGAAGCUGCAUCUUCGCAGGACAGGUUUUUAGGUUUCUCUGCCUGGGAAAUGAUUCUGAGGUUUGGGACAGUGAAGCCCUGAGCUCAGCGCAAUGUUUCCAGCGGCCAUUCAGGGAGGGAGGAAGCAUCUGGAGCGGGGCCAUUACAGAAAGGAGGUCUGACUUGGGACAACAUCCCUUCGUGCCGAUCUUUAUUGAACCUCCAGUCUGGGGGUCACCCCCCGCCCCGCCCCGCCGUCGGCCAGGGUCUGUGCUCCCAGGUCAGUCUCCUGACAUUCAGUUCAGGCAGGGACUGGGCCAGGGGGCUCACCGAUCCGUCUCAACUUUCUAGUCCUGUCCUGGCACGUGGCAGGUGCUUGGAAUUACUGAAUGGAUGCGUGACAAUGACCAUCUCUUCCGUAGAAACUGGGUCCCCUGGGAUAGUGCUUUGGGCACACCCAGGUAUUUGCUCUAAGUUUUGUUCACAGCUAACUGCAAUCUCUGGCUCGUCCUUUCGUUUAAAUAAGCCCAACCCUACUGGGGUCUACUAUUACUUCCCCCAAAGUGUUCCCACAUCCCCUGCCAAGGAGGCCGGACUCAUGUUUCUGUCCACUUCUUUCACUGCCAGAAAAAGAAAAGUUUCCGCCAACCAUCUCCAUCCGGGCUCUCCAUCCUGCAAGCAGCGAGGCUCCAAGAAGACACUCUGCCGCCUGGGGCCCCGUGGAACCACAGCAAGGACAGGCUCCCUGGCGGGUGUCCUGGCAGCCCCUCAAGCUCGGGGCUGGUGAACCGGUCCCGGAUCCGAAGUUUGAGGGGUUCGGAUCCAAGUAACGUUUCUGUCACUUCUCAGUGGGGGAACCUCGGGCUUAAUCUAAACCUCAAUUUCUUUCAUCUUUAGGGAUCAGUAAUAUUGAACGGAAGAAGACGAAAUGAGACUUUGUAUCUAAUGGAUGACGAUAAGGCGAAAGCGUAUGUGUACGUGUGCGUCUGUGUCCAGAGAAGCCAGUUAUCCCUGUAAUGUGCCAGGGCUGUUCAUUUUGGUCCCUCCAAUUCAAGUCUGUUCAACUUGAAAAAAAGCCCAUAAACCAGCGCAGGGCUGUGGGUUCCUAUUUCCUUUGACUUCUGUUCGUUUUUCCUAAAGAUCCUCUCACCUUGAUGGAAUGAAGAGCUCUAGGAUGAGACCCUCACCACAGACACAGCCCCACUCCUGGGCCUAAGGCACUAAGCGUUUCAGAAAAGGCGCCCGAGACUGGUACCUCUGUGCUGAAGGCGCUACCGCCUCCCCUCUCUCUUGGGAAACACAAAGGGAAAAAGGACUCUGCCAUAAUUAUGGAGUGACUGCGCCCCCCAGACAUGCUUAAUAAACGGCAAGUGAGACAGGAGCAGGAGACUACGGAAGGGAGUCAUCCGCUCCACUGAAGUGCCAAGCUGGGACUGCAGGCCUGGGCAAGACUGAGCCACGGACAAGUUCUAUGCUCAGAGGCUGACUCAUAUUUGGGCAUUUUGCUAGGGCUGAGGGAAAUGAGCUGGUGUCUUACCAGCUUCAAGAAUGCUGACAGCAGAAGUCCUCAAUUAUCGCAUGGAAAUGAUUUACUUAAAAAAUUAAGUCUGCACUGAUUCAUUGAGGAUCUUCCCAUAUUAAUUUCACGGUCACUCACUGGUGUUGAAGUCGGCCACCGAGUCUCAAAACCACCCGAAGGCCUUGUUUAAAACCCAGAUGACUGGGUCCCCACCCCAGAGGUUUGGAUUCAGGAGGGUCUGGGUUGGGCUCAAGAAGCUGCAUUUUUUUUUAAGAUUUUAUUUAUUUAUUUGACAGAGAGAGAUACAGCAAGAAAGGGACACA